CUCUCUAAUUUUUUUUUUCACAUUUUCUCUCAAAUUUUCUGAAAACCAAACAUAGUCUGAAGUUGCCCUCCAGCCGAGAGAAUUGCCCUUUCCCCUUUUCUGAAGCUGCCCUCCAGCCGCUGAAGCUGCCCUCCAGCCAAGAGAGUUCCUCUUCCUAAAAAGACCUAUCUUCCUCUGCCACUCUCAAUCCUCGCAGAUUUUGUAUCCUGUGCGCGGGCUGGACUGGUAGGAAAAUAUCGGGAAAUUUUCCGAUAAAUCGGUAUUUCGCCGAUAUUUCGCAAACGUGAAAGGGGGACUGAAGGGUUUUGUCUUGGGAGAACCCUAACGCCGCCUUGCAUAGCAGCAGCUCUGCUUCCAAAAUGGAUCCGCAACCCGAACCUGUUAGCUACAUCUGUGGAGGUACAUCCAUUUUCUUUAACCUUCUUGUUUGGUUCCCGAGAAAUCUCAGGAACGUAAUGUAAAACGAGUUUUGGUUGAAUUGCUAUGGAAUUUUCUUUUCCUCUUCC